rnacentral:rRNA from 1 species
GUUGUUCGGAAUUAUUGGGCGUAAAGGGCUUGUAGGCGGCACGUCAAGUCGCGUGUGAAAUCCCCAGGCUUAACCUGGGAAGUGCGCGCGAAACUGACGAGCUUGAGUGCCGGAGAGGGUCGCGGAAUUCCCGGUGUAGAGGUGAAAUUCGUAGAUAUUGGGAAGAACACCGGUGGCGAAGGCGGCACUCUGGACCGACACUGACGCUGAGGAGCGAAAGCGUGGGGAGCAAACAGG